GGAGGACUGCCCGAUGGCGGCGGCACUGUUCGAGCCGCCCUGCAGCGGUGUGGAGACUCCGACCAGUUGGGGCAGGCGGCUCAGGUCGCGGCCAGCCAGGCAGCCAAAGGGAGUAAGUUGGCAUUUUGAACAUUUUGCCUAGAAAUCUCCAUACCAAGGCGGGGUUGGGAAACUAGUUUCCAUGGCCAAACCUAGCCCACCGUCUGUUUUGGUGUCCAUGGAUUGGCGGGGACAGCUCUGCUUAAGGAUGUAGUAGCUCUGCAGGUUGGCUAGUUUCCUGUUCUUCCCAACCUGCGCUAUGGACUUCAUCAGAUUUCAGCAUCAGAGAGAAUAUGGAAGGACAUCGACCCUAACUUCAUCCAGUGAGGAUUUCCACACACCAUACACUCUCUGAGAGUUCUCUUGGCUUUGUGUGCACACCUCCAGUGACAGGGAGCUCGCUAUGUCAUGAGGCAGCCUGCUCCCUUGUGGCUAUCACUGAACCAACUAUUAAGCCUUCUUAUACAAACAGUCCCUGACUUACUGUUAGACUUACAACUUUUUGAUUUUACAGUGGUGCAAAAGCAAUAUGCAUUCCAUAGAAACUGUAUUUCAAAUUUUGAAUUUUGAUCUUUUCCAGGCUAGCAACAUAUGAAGACCAACCUUCUAUUUUUAAAAUAGGCUUUGUGUUAGAUGCUUUUGCCCAACUAUAGGUUAAUGUAAAUGUUCUGAGAAUAUUUGAGGAAGGCUAGGCUAAACUGUGAUCUUUGGGAGCUUAGAUAUGUUAAGUGCAUUUUCAACUUACAAUAUUUUCAACUUACGAUGAGUUUAUUGGGAUGAAGCCCGUUGUAAGUAAAGGAGCAUCUGCAUUAAGCUAAAAUCCAUGUCUAUAACUUCCUCAGUAAUAUCAAGUUUGUUCCUUGGAGCCAGAGAAUAAACUGAAUCCUUUUCCA
rnacentral:lncRNA from 10 species